rnacentral:rRNA from 1 species
UACGAAGGGGGCUAGCGUUGCUCGGAAUCACUGGGCGUAAAGCGCACGUAGGCGGAUUGCUAAGUCAGGGGUGAAAUCCUGGAGCUCAACUCCAGAACUGCCUUUGAUACUGGCGAUCUUGAGUCCGGGAGAGGUGAGUGGAACUGCGAGUGUAGAGGUGAAAUUCGUAGAUAUUCGCAAGAACACCAGUGGCGAAGGCGGCUCACUGGCCCGGUACUGACGCUGAGGUGCGAAAGCGGUGGGGAG